rnacentral:lncRNA from 1 species
CAGGAGGGUCAGAGGGCAGAGGAGUUCCCACCCCAGCAGGCCAGGCAGACGCGUGAAUGGCGGCCUCCCUGAAGGACUGCUGGACCACAGACACCAAUGCACGCGAACAUGCGCCUCCCCACGGAUGCUGCUGUUCCGUUUCCAUCCCAAAGAAUGGCCACGUGCGUGGACAACAGUUUAGCUGCAAAGAUGCUCAUGCCAGCUUUGUUAAUAAGCUGGCUCCAAGUGGCCCUCAGCAAGCCUCGCCUCCUGGCCUCCAUGCUCCUACGGACUCAACUCUCACACUGAGUCAGAGCCGGUCAGUGUGACCGCAGAAAACUGCAGAAGGGAGGGUGUGUGACGUCCCAGGCUAGGUCACAGGGCACUGUGACUUCCCCCUUUCUCUUGGGUCACUUGUUCUGAGGGAAAGGUGCCUGGUGCGAGGUUGCUGGAGCAGCCCUGUGCAGAGGCCCGAGGCAAGGGCAAGCAAGGCCUUUGCCACAGCCAGCACCGACGUGCUGACCGUCCCAGUGAGCCGCCGGGGAAUGGGGCCUCCAGCCCUGUCCAGCCCUCAGGCCCUUCUUAGCUUUGGAGAAUUCCCUCCUUCUGGGUCCCUGACUCCCCAGAGGAGCCAGAAACUGUUUCCCAGAACCAGGGUGUCGGCCCGCCGGACAGAGGCACAGCAGCAGACUCGGAUUGAGAGCCAGUGGCGCCUGGUGGAGGCCGGGAGAUGCCAGGACCAGCAGCAGCGGAUCCAGGGGAGCGCCCAGCCCAUUUGCGUGGUGGCUCUGCUCAGCACUGGCCACCAUCUCACUCCCUGGACCUGCCCUGUGGUGGCACAUUCAGGCUGUGUCCCUGCUGCACAGCCUCUCAGCCUGAACCUCAGGCUGCUCAAGAGAUGCUGGAAGCCCCCCAAUAUCCUAUAAUAAAUUCCGUUUCUGCUUAAACUCGUGCUCUUCGAACCUCUUUACUCCUCUGCCCUCCUCUCCUACUUCUUCUUGCUCAUGCACUCCCACCACACUGGACUUCUUGCUGUUCUUUGAACCUGCAAGAAUGCUCCCUGCCUCAGGGCCUUUGCACUGGCUGUUCCCUCUGUUUAGAAUGCUCUCCCCCCAGGUGCCUACAUGACUUAAGCCCUCGCCUCUUCAAAACUUUGUUAGAAUGGCAUUUUCUGAAUUUUGCUUUCCUGAUUACCCAGUUUGCAACUCCUCCAGCACACCCCAUAUCCCUUGCCUGCUCAUCCCCCCAUCCCUUUUUUUUUUUUGAGGAAGAUCAGUCCUGAGCUAACAUCUGUGCCCAUCUUCCUCGACUUUAUAAGUGGGACGCCUGCCACAGCAUGGCUUGACAAGCGGUGUGUAGGUCUGCACCCACAGUCUGAACUGGUGAACCCCAGGCUGCAGAAGCAGAAUGUGAGAACUUAACUGCUGUGCCAGCAGGCUGCUCCCCCCACCCCAUUUUUCAUAGCACUUAUCUCCUCAAACAUUGACUUUAUCAACUUAUCAUUUAUAGUCUUUCUCCAUGUGGGCAGGAAUUUGGGUCUGUUUUAUUCAAAGAUGUUUCCCCUGUACCUAAAACAGUGCUUGUCACGUUGUGGGCCCUCAACAAAUAUUUGUUGAAUAAAUGAAUGAAUGAAUUGAAAGAAUGAAUGAUUAGAAGA